rnacentral:rRNA from 1 species
UACAGGAGGUGCGAGCGUUGUUUCGGAAUUACUAGGGCGUAAAGGGCGCGUAGGCGGCCUUCUAAAGUCGGAACGAUGAAACUCCCCAGGCUCAACCUGGGAACCUGCGUCCGAUACUGGCAGGCUUGAAUCCGGGAGAGGGAUGUGGAAGUUCCAGGUGUAGCGGUGAAAUGCGUAGAUAUCUGGAGGAACACCGGUGGCGAAGGCGGCAUCCUGGACCGGUAUGACGCUGAGGCGCGGAAAGCUAGGGGAGCAAACGGGG